CCUACGGGCGGCAGCAGUGGGGAAUAUUGGACAAUGGGCGAAAGCCUGAUCCAGCCAUGCCGCGUGUGUGAAGAAGGCCUUCGGGUUGUAAAGCACUUUCAGUGGGGAAGAAAGCCUUGGGGCUAAUACCCUCGAGGAAGGACAUCACCCACAGAAGAAGCACCGGCUAACUCCGUGCCAGCAGCCGCGGUAAUACGGAGGGUGCGAGCGUUAAUCGGAAUUACUGGGCGUAAAGCGCGCGUAGGCGGUCUGAUAAGCCGGUUGUGAAAGCCCCGGGCUCAACCUGGGAACGGCAUCCGGAACUGUCAGGCUAGAGUGCAAGAGAGGAAGGUAGAAUUCCCGGUGUAGCGGUGAAAUGCGUAGAGAUCGGGAGGAAUACCAGUGGCGAAGGCGGCCUUCUGGACUGACACUGACGCUGAGGUGCGAAAGCGUGGGUAGCAAACAGGAUUAGAUACCCCGGUAGUC
rnacentral:rRNA from 1 species